rnacentral:rRNA from 1 species
CAUAGGUUAAUGAGGCGAACCGGGGGAACUGAAACAUCUAAGUACCCCGAGGAAAAGAAAUCAACCGAGAUUCCCCCAGUAGCGGCGAGCGAACGGGGAGGAGCCCAGAGCCUGAAUCAGUGUGUGUGUUAGUGGAAGCGUCUGGAAAGGCGCGCGAUACAGGGUGACAGCCCCGUACACAAAAAUGCACAUACUGUGAGCUCGAUGAGUAGGGCGGGACACGUGGUAUCCUGUCUGAAUAUGGGGGGACCAUCCUCCAAGGCUAAAUACUCCUGACUGACCGAUAGUGAACCAGUACCGUGAGGGAAAGGCGAAAAGAACCCCGGCGAGGGGAGUGAAAAAGAACCUGAAACCGUGUACGUACAAGCAGUGGGAGCCUCUUAAUGGGGUGACUGCGUACCUUUUGUAUAAUGGGUCAGCGACUUAUAUUCUGUAGCAAGGUUAACCGAAUAGGGGAGCCGAAGGGAAACCGAGUCUUAACUGGGCGUUAAGUUGCAGGGUAUAGACCCGAAACCCGGUGAUCUAGCCAUGGGCAGGUUGAAGGUUGGGUAACACUAACUGGAGGACCGAACCGACUAAUGUUGAAAAAUUAGCGGAUGACUUGUGGCUGGGGGUGAAAGGCCAAUCAAACCGGGAGAUAGCUGGUUCUCCCCGAAAGCUAUUUAGGUAGCGCCUCGUGAAUUCAUCUCCGGGGGUAGAGCACUGUUUCGGCAAGGGGGUCAUCCCGACUUACCAACCCGAUGCAAACUGCGAAUACCGGAGAAUGUUAUCACGGGAGACACACGGCGGGUGCUAACGUCCGUCGUGAAGAGGGAAACAACCCAGACCGCCAGCUAAGGUCCCAAAGUCAUGGUUAAGUGGGAAACGAUGUGGGAAGGCCCAGACAGCCAGGAUGUUGGCUUAGAAGCAGCCAUCAUUUAAAGAAAGCGUAAUAGCUCACUGGUCGAGUCGGCCUGCGCGGAAGAUGUAACGGGGCUAAACCAUGCACCGAAGCUGCGGCAGCGACGCUUAUGCGUUGUUGGGUAGGGGAGCGUUCUGUAAGCCUGUGAAGGUGGCCUGUGAGGGUUGCUGGAGGUAUCAGAAGUGCGAAUGCUGACAUAAGUAACGAUAAAGCGGGUGAAAAGCCCGCUCGCCGGAAGACCAAGGGUUCCUGUCCAACGUUAAUCGGGGCAGGGUGAGUCGACCCCUAAGGCGAGGCCGAAAGGCGUAGUCGAUGGGAAACAGGUUAAUAUUCCUGUACUUGGUGUUACUGCGAAGGGGGGACGGAGAAGGCUAUG